AAUCUGGACCUUAAACGACAUCAGACACAUGUUCACUUCAAAACUUGGGACAGACUAACUAAAUUUGAAGGCAGAUUCCUAAAAAGCACAUAACUCAAGCCAUACAGUUCAUCCUUAAAAACGUCACAGCGCUACUGUUAUUUAGGGGUACGUGAAAACAAAUGAAAAACAAUUAGCGCCUAACGCUCAAAAUUACGAGUGCGUCUGAAUGCCUCACAGCACGAGGAGACCGCAGCACGAAGGACACAGCGGCAAGUUGUUGCUUUGUGUAUCAUAAACAAAUACUGGCUGCGACAGUAUUAACUGAAGGACUAGAGGAGGAAGUUGUGAAGGCACAGCACGUUGUUUACAUGGACCAGCAGCCAACAAGUUCUCGCAGCGUGAAGGCAACGAUGUUUCAAAGAACCAACCUUUGUGUGUUGUCGUGGGGAACGCUACAGCCUGUUUUUUUUCUUAAUCCCAGAUAUAAUGUCCAAACAUGUGGACGUAGGGUCACAGGAGGACAAUCCCAACUGAUAAUUGAUGUCCAUUGGCCGCAAUGUUGUCUUCUAUCUUAUGAGGACAUGAGUCACUGAGACAAGGUGGAGUCCCUCUCUGACUCAUCAUGGCUUUCUUUAUCAGACCUUCUUUGACAUUAACUGUGCCAUCAUUGGCCCUUGAGUGUUUUUCCCCUGCUAAAUUUGUUGGGAAGCUGUCUUACUAUCAUCGCACACACUAAGCAUCCCAACAGGAAAGACAUCUGCGACAUAUAAAUCAUCCUCACAAAGCCGCCGGGCCUCGUAAGCGACAAGAGUAAAGCCCCUUUGGCAGCGAGCACGGCUAAAGGACAGAAGUAUAAGAUGUCGUGCAUCAUUUCUAAUCUGAAUUGUCCUCUGAGGGAGAUUUCAAGAUGAGAAUAGGUUAAACUGUGUCCAGCAUUGCUGUGGACAUUAAAAAAAUGUCCUGACGUUUAUUUACAAGCUGUUUUUUCACCGUAUUCUCUUGAUGGCUGCAAAUUGUGUUGAUGUUCUGGUGAUCUGGACUACUUUCACCACAAACGGCUGCAUGCACAAACCCGCCAGGAACCAAAACUUCAGUGAAAAGAUGUCAAAAGUGCUCCAAUGUUUACGAAAAUCAGUCUUAAAGGGGAAAUACCUAUUUUGACCUCACAAAAAAACCCCAAAAAACAGCAACAGUGUUCCAUUUACAUAACUGACUCAUACAUCAACCAAGCCACAGCGAUAUUGUUGCUGUAGCUGCUAACACAAAGAACUACUAACUUGACACCUCGCUAGAACCGCUAGUCUCAGCAGCAUUUAUUGGGUUAACAUUCUACAAUAAAAUAAAAAGUCCACAAACAAAAAAAAAGCUAAAUAAUAAUUUAUGCACACAAUAAUUUAAAAUGCAUAAUCGGUCUCUGAAUAAUUAACUAUUGCAUGGUCCCAUUAAUAAGACAUAAGUCAACCAUACUGAGUCUAAUACAUGGAAGUAAAAGAUAUAAGAUUUUAUGGUCAAAGUCUACACAGCCCCCAGUGUGAGGCUCCCUUUGUGGGUAAAAAAAAAGAGGAGUGUACAGUGGCCUGCUGGAUCAACAUUACGAUAGUCGAGGUGUCGUAUUUUAACAGAAAUGUAAGUUUCAGAUGUCACACCAAACUUUACAUAUCUGGCAUUAAAUCUUCUAAUGAGUAUAAAAGCUGCACAGUGGAACCUUGGUUAGUGUCAUUAAUCAGUUCCAGAAGGUCCAACUCAAAGCGAAAAGUACCCGGAUAAGUUGAAUUUACUUAAAAAAUUUGAGGAAACCAGUUGCCCUAAAAAAGUAAAUGAAAAUGAAGGAAACUUGAGUGAGUUCAAAUUAAGACCUUAAAGGUACUGAACUUGGUAUUUUAAGUACAAUGCACUAAAAGCCAAAAUCUUUUAACUUAAAAUAAUUCACAUAAUAUAAAUUGCGUCACACCACCA